GAAAUGCGAUAAGUAAUGUGAAUUGCAGAAUUCAGUGAAUCAUCGAAUCUUUGAAUGCACAUUGCGCCCGCCAGUAUUCUGGCGGGCAUGCCUGUUCGAGUGUCAUUUCAACCAUCAAGCCCCCGGCUUGUGUUGGGGACCUGCGGCUGCCCGCAGGCCCUGAAAAACAGUGGCGGGCUCGCUGUCACACCGAGCGUAGUAGCAUACAUUCUCGCUCAGGGCGUGCUGCGGGUUCCGGCCGUUAAACGACCUUCAUAACCCAAGGUUGACCUCGGAUCAGGUAGGAAGACCCGCUGAACUUAAGC
rnacentral:misc_RNA from 1 species